GUUUCUGUAUUCUAGUGGUUAUGAUUCGUCCUUCACAGGCAAAAUUUUUCGAAGCGGACGAGGUCCCGAGUUCGACCCUCGGCGGAAACA